GGAAGUAAAAGUCGAAACAAGGUUUCCGUAGGCGAACCUGCGGAAGGAUCAUUAUUGUAUAACCGAGGUGCGAGGGCUGUCGCUGACCCGAAAGGUCGUGCACGCCCGAGUGCCCUCACACACAUCCAUCUCACCCCUAUGUGCACCACCGCGUGGGUCCCCCUUUGGCUUGUUCGGAGGGGGGCUUACGUUUUCACACAAACUUUGUAUGCAGUGUAGAAUGUAUUUUUUGUUUUUGCGAUCACGCAAUCAAUACAACUUUCAACAACGGAUCUCUUGGCUCUC
rnacentral:misc_RNA from 1 species